rnacentral:rRNA from 1 species
GCAUAUCAAUAAGCGGAGGAAAAGAAACCAACAGGGAUUGCCCCAGUAACGGCGAGUGAAGCGGCAACAGCUCAGAUUUGGAAUCUGGCCCCCAGGGCCCGAGUUGUAAUCUGGAGAGGAUGCUUCUGGCGCGGCGCCUUCCGAGUUCCCUGGAACGGGACGCCGGAGAGGGUGAGAGCCCCGUACGGUUGGACGCCUAGCCUUUGUGAAGCUCCUUCGACGAGUCGAGUAGUUUGGGAAUGCUGCUCAAAAUGGGAGGUAAAUUUCUUCUAAAGCUAAAUACCGGCCAGAGACCGAUAGCGCACAAGUAGAGUGAUCGAAAGAUGAAAAGCACUUUGAAAAGAGGGUCAAACAGUACGUGAAAUUGUUGAAAGGGAAGCGCCCGUGGCCAGACUUGUGCCCCGCGGACCACCCGGCGCCCUCAGCGCCGGUGCACUCCGCGGGGCGCAGGCCAGCAUCGGUUUUCCUAGGGGGAUAAAGGCGGCGGGAACGUGGCUCCCUCGGGAGUGUUAUAGCCCGCCGCGCCAUGCCCCUGGGGGGACCGAGGACCGCGCUUCGGCAAGGAUGCUGGCGUAAUGGCCACCGGCGACCCGUCUUGAAACACGGACCAAGGAGUCAAGCAUUGGGGCGAGUGUCUGGGUGUUAAACCCGCACGCGAAAUGAAAGUAAACGCAGGUGAGAGCUUCGGCGCAUCAUCGACCGAUCCUGAUGUUCUCGGAUGGAUUUGAGUAAGAGCCUUACCGCUUGGACCCGAAAGAUGGUGAACUAUGCCUGUAUAGGGUGAAGCCAGAGGAAACUCUGGUGGAGGCUCGCAGCGGUUCUGACGUGCAAAUCGAUCGUCAAAUAUGGGCAUGGGGGCGAAAGACUAAUCGAACCAUCUAGUAGCUGGUUACCGCCGAAGUU